ACUGAGAUCAGAAAGAGAAGUGGGAGUGGUGAAGUCACUGACCAUAUGGUCAUUUGGGUCAAAAAUGGCACCAUUUAAAGGUCUGUAACUAUGGUAGAUUAAAGAUAGCCGCAAAUUCUUUGCUACUAUUUUUAGUAGAGGUCUAUUGCCUUCCCUUUGAAUGUGGACGGGCUCUGUAACUGCUUUGACCAAUGGAAUAAUAGCAGAAGUGACACUGUGCCAGCUCUCUGAGCCCAGGCCCUAAAUAUCUGUAGAUUUUCACUUUCUGUUUCUUAGGACACUAUUUUUGAGAUCUCUGAGCCUCCAUAUAAGAAGUCCAGAUUUCCUGAGACUGCCAUGCUGGAGUAGCCACAUGUAGGCACUUUGGGUUGACAGAUCCAGCUGAGGCCAGACCUCCUGCUGUCACCAUCAAGUGACAUGAGAGAGAACUGUUGUGGACCAUUCAGACCAGCUAAGGGUUGAAUACCCCCAAGUGAACUCCUUCAAGCCACCCAGAGAAAAAAAAAAAAAAAAAAACCCACCCAGCUGAGCCUGAGCCUUCUCUGAAUUUCUGACCCAUGACAUCUGGAGAUAUAAUAAAAUGCCUGUCUGUUUAAGCUGCCAAGUUUUGUAUGGCUUUGUGACAUAGUAAUAGGUAACCAGAAUAGUGAAUAUAAACAGAAGGUUCCCUGACCACAUGGUGACUGAAGAAAGAAGUACGUGCCAUCAUUUUAGUAUGUAAACUUCUCCAUUUGCUUGUUUGCCAAGAAGAUCUUGCUUAGAAAGAAAUCUUACCUAGAAUGUGAUACAUAAUAGAGCUCAAAGUCAAGCUGCCCGAGCUGAAGCAUAGCUAGGAGUCCAGAGUCACAUCUUCUCUGUCCUCUUGUCCUAAACUCCCCAGAUGCCAGGAGAUGUUCUGUAGCCCAGCUGUGAAAGAUUGUGAGGGCCAGAGGAUCUACUACCACAGAACCAUUCUAGAUGUGAGUUCCUAGUGUGAAAGGACUGGGAGUUAACAGAAGAGCCACAGUGAGGGCAUAAGUGCUUCUCCUUGUGAUUAAGACCUGUACCCACCUCUAGUCCUACAAACAAAGAUGGAUCCUUAAAUUCUUCAACGUGAAACACCUAUAAGGCAAACAAACCUCUUUUUGGCUAAUAUGGAUCACUUAUAAUAUAAUACAAUUGCAAAGUAUGCUUGUUCCAAAAGAUAUCCCUUCCCUUCUGGGGCAAUAAUGAGGACAUUGAA